rnacentral:lncRNA from 1 species
UUUGUUUUUUCCGUUGUCACAAUUCAUGCAUUGCCAUGUCUUUGUCGUCUCUUCCCUUUGUGGUGGUCGCUCUCCCACCAAAGGGGGUUUAAUGCUUAGACCUCGACCACCAUCACUACCCACAUUACAACCGCUUCAUCACCCACCAACCCACAUCCAACCCUAAUUAAGUCACUGCUCCACCUAGUUCUUUCGUAGGCAAUCACCGUGUCCAAUAUUUCAUGUGUUCCAUGUGCCAACCUCAUUAUUACAAGUCUCUCCCCGAUUGAUCGAUCCCCCACUUCAUAAACCUUCUUUAGAUUUGACUUCUAUGACUGCAACUUCAAUUGAAAAAAGAACCUUCAAACUCCCUCCUAAAGCCACAGUAGAAUUAGAGUUGAGAACAUUCUGGUUUGAGAUUUAAUAAUUGUGUUGGGGUAUUUUUUUUGUUUUUUUGUUUGUUUUGUUUUGCUUCUUAGUCUGUUAUAUUAUUAUUUUGUCAACAUGUAUUUGAAUUGGUCAUUCAAAGACCACAUAUAGUCGAAAUGUCGAAACCAACAACAUUUUUUUUCUUUAAGAACGGUG